UACAGAGGUCCCAAGCGUUGUUCGGAUUCACUGGGCGUAAAGGGUGCGUAGGCGGUCUGGUAAGUCUGAUGUGAAAUCUCACAGCUUAACUGUGAAACUGCAUUGGAUACUAUCCGGCUCGAGGAAUGGAGGGGAGACUGGAAUACUUGGUGUAGCAGUGAAAUGCGUAGAUAUCAAGUGGAACACCAGUGGCGAAGGCGAGUCUCUGGACAUUUCCUGACGCUGAGGCACGAAAGCCAGGGAGCAAACGGG
rnacentral:rRNA from 1 species